rnacentral:rRNA from 1 species
AUAUCAGUCAUGCAUAGCAUAUCAAUAAGCGGAGGAAAAGAAACUAACAAGGAUUCCCCUAGUAACUGCGAGUGAAGCGGGAAGAGCUCAAAUUUGAAAUCUUAAAAGGUUUUCCUUUUACGAAUUGUAGUUUAAAGAAGUGUUUUCUGUUGAAAUUUUAGUAAAAGUUCUUUGGAAUAGGACAUCAUAGAGGGUGAGAAUCCCGUAUUUGACUAGAAUUUUUCAACUUUGUGAUACACUUUCAAAGAGUCGGAUUGUUUGGGAAUGCAGUCCAAAAUGGGUGGUAAAUUUCAUCUAAAGCUAAAUAUUGGCGAGAGACCGAUAGCGAACAAGUACCGUGAGGGAAAGAUGAAAAGAACUUUGAAAAGAGAGUUAAAUAGUACGUGAAAUUGUCAAAAGGGAAGCGUUUGGCACCAGUGUUGUUUUUCUAAAAAUCAAUUUAAAAUUUGCUUAUGCUAAGUUUUUUAGACUUAAUCGGUUAAUAAUUUAGUUUUUUGUAAUUUUUGAAUGCACUUUUUAGUUAACAAGUCAACAUCCAAUUUCUUUUAGUUGUAAAAGAAUAAGAGGAAGGUGGCUUGGGAUUUAGUUUCAAGUGUUUAUAGCCUUUUAUUUAUGCAAUAGGAGGGAUUGAGGUCUGCAGCAUAGAUCCUUCGGGGCUAGAUGCAUUUUCGCUAAGAGUCAGUAUUAUAUAAACAACUUGUUGAUUAUGUAGUAUGUUGAUUUUUACUCGGGAGUGUUAUUUUACCUACGCUUAGGAUGUUGAUCUACAGAGCGAGAGU